UACGUAGGUGGCAAGCGUUACUCGGAAUUACUAGGCGUAAAGCGCAGGUAGGUGGUGUGAUAAGUCCGUAAUGAAAUCUCCCGGCUUAACUGGGAGGGGUUUAGGGAUACUGUCAUGCUUGAGGGUCGGAGAGGGGCGUGGAAUUCCGGGUGGAGCGGUGAAAUGCGUAGAGAUCCGGAGGAACACCGACGGCGUAGGCAGCGCCCUGGACGACACCUGACGCUGAGGCACGAAAGCUGGGGGAGCGAACAGG
rnacentral:rRNA from 1 species